rnacentral:rRNA from 1 species
CCUACGGAGGCAGCAGUGGGGAAUAUUGCACAAUGGGGGAAACCCUGAUGCAGCGACGCCGCGUGAGUGAAGAAGUAUUUCGGGAUUUAAAGCUCUAUCAGCAGGGAAGAAAAUGACGGUACCGGACUAAGAAGCCCCGGCUAACUACGUGCCAGCAGCCGCGGUAAUACGUAGGGGGCACGCGUUAUCCGGAUUUACUGGGUGUAAAGGGAGCGUAGGCGGAAAGGUAAGGCAGAAGUGAAAGUCCGCGGGUCAACUGCGGGAAUGCUUUUGGAACUAUCUAGCUAGAUUGCAGGAGAGGUAAGUGGAAUUCCUAGUGUAGCGGUGAAAUGCAUAGAUAUUAGGAGGAACACCAGUUGCGAAGGCGGCUUACUGGACUGUAAAUGACGCUGAGGCUCGAAAGCGUGGGGAGCAAACAGGAUUAGAUACCCGAGUAGUC